GUCCCUGUAGCGCAAUGGAUAGCCCGUUGAACUUAUCAUCCAAAGGUCAUGAAUUCGAAUUCCGACUGGGAUG